ACUCUGAUCAUUCUGACAUAAGGAUACCUAUGCUAAGGACGGCUGUGUAGUGAAGAGAUAUGCAACAUAAGCCUAUUAAGACACUUGAAGAAUUCUGUCAUAUAAAACUCUCCAGAUCAAAUUAUCUAUUAUGGAAAUCUAUACUGCCAGAAUUAGACUUGUCUCAAAGUUUGUAUUCUGCCUUAGGAAGGAGCCUUUAUAUAAUGAAUUGCAGAAAACUACAUUUCUUCAGCACAGUGUUUUCAGCAGAAUCCUGGAAAACCCAAAACAAAUGAAAUUUGUAAAAGGAAUAUCAGCAAGUAACAAUAGAACAAAGUUAGCAGAACAAAACUCAGGUGCCAUUUUGCUAUUGCAAAUGACUCAUUGUGACACGUUUGUCUGUGGUAUCAGUUUCAGUCUUAUCAGUGACUCAAACCAAAUGUGAUGGGUGCACAUUUCCAUAUUAUGAUUUUGUCAUGCUUCAGGGAGACACCUUAGAAUAAUUAUUGCAAUGAAUGUUUCUGAUAGAACAAAUUUGCAAAGCAGCAAGUAAAGAGCACUUUCCAGUUUAUAAUAUACCUUUUUCUUAAACCAUUCUUUGUAGUGCCUCACUAUAGGCAAGCUAAAAAAU
rnacentral:lncRNA from 1 species